rnacentral:rRNA from 1 species
CACGGGGGGAGCAAGCGUUGUUCGGAAUCACUGGGCGUAAAGGGCGUGUAGGCGGUCAGGUAAGUGAGAUGUGAAAUGCCCCGGCUCACCCGGGGACCGGCAUCUCAUACUGCUUGGCUUGAGUACGGGAGAGGAUGUGGGAAUUCCCGGUGUAGCGGUGAAAUGCGUAGAGAUCGGGAGGAACACCAGUGGCGAAGGCGGCUACCUGGACCAGCACUGACACUGAGGCACGAAAGCGUGGGGAGCAAACAGG